rnacentral:pre_miRNA from 1 species
UUCAACAGCUUGAGGGAAACAUCUAAAGUAAACGACGAACGAACUUCCAUUGAUAACCGAUGAACUUAGUGUUUGAAGGAAGCAAGAUGUCUCCUGGUUUUUACUUUAGAUGUCUCCUUCAUGCUGUCUGU